rnacentral:rRNA from 1 species
CAAGGUUUCUGUAGGUGAACCUGCGGAAGGAUCAUUACCCGAGUGCGGGUUGCCCUCCGGGGCGCCCAACCUCCCCACCCGUGACUACCGAACCCUGUUGCUUCGGCGGGGAGCGCGCCCAAAACCUCCCCUUUCCGGGGAGGGGGGCACGCAAGCCGCCGGGGACCACACCGAACUUCAUGCCUGAGAGUAGUGCAGUCUGAGCCCCGCAAUAGCGAAACAGUCAAAACUUUCAACAAUGGAUCUCUUGGUUCCGGCAUCGAUGAAGAACGCAGCGAACUGCGAUAAGUAAUGUGAAUUGCAGAAUUCAGUGAAUCAUCGAGUCUUUGAACGCACAUUGCGCCCCCUGGCAUUCCGGGGGGCAUGCCUGUCCGAGCGUCAUUACUGCCCAUCAAGCCCGGCUUGUGUGUUGGGUCGCCGUCCCCGCCUCUCAGGGGACGGGCCCGAAAGGCAGCGGCGGCACCGGGUCUGGUCCUCGAGCGUAUGGGGCUUCGUCACCCGCUCGUCUAGGGCCAGCCGGGCGCCCGCCGGCGUCUCAUCAACCAUUCUCUUUCAGGUUGACCUCGGAUCAGGUAGGGAUACCCGCUGAACUUA